GACAGCUUCAGGCCGCCUGGAAUGGGAGGGAGCAGGAGGUAUCGCGAGAGUUGGCCCCAAGCCUUGUGGGAACAGUAAUUAUGGCGAGCUUGGGGGUAGAGGCUGAGCAGGAGCCGCUCUUAGGCCACAACAUACCCGGAAGCAGAGAAUGGGAUAUUAUAGAAACUGAGGAGCAUUAUAAGAGCCGAUGGAGAUCAAUUAGGAUUCUGUAUCUUACUAUGUUUCUUAGCAGUGUAGGAUUUUCUAUUGUGUUAAUGUCAAUAUGGCCAUAUCUCCAAAAGAUUGAUCAGACUGCCGAUGCAAGUUUUUUGGGCUGGGUUAUUGCUUCUUUCAGCCUUGGCCAAAUGGUAGCUUCACCUAUAUUUGGUUUGUGGUCUAACUAUCGACCAAGAAAAGAGCCUCUUACUGUUUCCAUUUUCAUUUCGGUGGCAGCCAACUGCCUCUAUGCAUAUGUCCAGGUUCCAGCUUCUCAUAAUAAAUACUACAUGUUGGUUGCUCGUGGAUUGGUGGGAUUUGGAGCAGGUAAUAUGCAUGCAUGUAUAUUUUUGGUUGUGUUGGACUCACAUUCAUCCUGACAUUUAUGGCCUUCUCUCAUCUAGGGUCACCUCUUCUCAAUCUCCUAUACGACAUUCAACAUACAGAUGUCUCAUUGCAAAUAUCUUUCCUAUCAUUUUGCCUUUGCUCAUGAUGUUCCCAUUACCUAUAGUUUCUCUCUUCUGUUCCCAUGAUUCUUCAUCCUUCAAGAUUCAGUUCAAGUUCCACCUCUUCCAUGAAGCUUUCUUAGGCUACACUACUGCUUCUCCAACAUGUCUCUGGCAUUUGCUUAUAUACUGUUUUGCACUGUUUUCAUCCCUUAUCACCAACUAGCUAGUAAACUUAGUGUAAUUAGAGACAAUCUCUGACUUUUGAAAAUAUUCUCUAGCCCCUAGCAGAGUCUCUUCAACAUAAAUGCUCAGCAAAUUUUUUUGACUCAAAUUUUUAGGAUUUUUUUUUUAUAAACAUGCAGAGUAUGUAGCAUAUUUCUUUGAAAACAAUGUAGCAAUUAGUAGGACUCCAUUCACUCAAUGCUUUCUCGGUAUUUAAUGAUGAAAAAAGUUUAAGUUUCCUGUAUGCCAUUUUUUCAUUCAUUCACAUCUUUAAUUGUGUUUUCACAAUACUAAAAGUAAUAUUUUCCAUUAAUUGAUUCAUUUGUUCGCUAUACAUGCCUUGUAUAAUCAUAAAGAGGAAGCAGUAACUAUGUUGUAGGUUAAUAUUUCUUCUUCUGUAUAGAGCCAAAUUAAGUCGAAUUUUUAUAAACUGGAGAAUAUUUUCUUUUACUUUGUAUUAUUGUGUCUUUUCUUAGGAAAUGUAGCUGUUAUUAGAUCAUAUAUUGCUGGUGCUACCUCUCUUCAGGAAAGAACAAGUUCCAUGGCAAACACAAGUGCAUGUCAAGCAUUAGGUUUUAUUCUAGGUCCAGUUUUUCAGACUUGUUUCGCACUCAUUGGAGAAAAGGGCGUGACAUGGGAUACCAUUAAGCUGCAGAUAAACAUGUACACAGCACCAGUUUUACUUGGCGCCUUCCUGGGAAUUUUAAAUAUUAUUCUGAUUCUUACUGUAUUAAGCAAGUACAGAUGAAGUUCAGAUCCCCCAAGGAAAUAUUGAUCAAGUUGCUGUUGUGGCCACCAAUGUUCUGUUUUUUGUGAUUCUGUUUAUCUUUGCCCUUUUUGAAACCAUUGUUACUCCAUUAACAAUGGAUAUGUAUGCCUGGACCAGAGAACAAGCUGUGUUAUAUGAUGGCAUAAUACUUGCUGCUCUUGGAGUUGAGGCAGUUAUUAUUUUCAUGGGGAUAAAAUUACUUUCCAAAAAGGUUGGCGAGCGUGCUAUUCUGCUGGGAGGACUCAUUGUUAUAUGGGUUGGCUUCUUUAUCUUGUUACCUUGGGGACAUCAGUUUCCCAAAAUACAGUGGGAAGAUUUACAUAAUAAUUCAAUCCCUAAUACCACAUUUGGAGAAAUAAUUAUUACUCUUUGGAAGAUUCCAAGAGAAGAUCACAAUGAAGGACCAACUGGUUGCCCAGUUGAACAAGCCUGGUGCCUCUACACCCCCAUGAUCCAUCUGGCCCAGUUCCUCACAUCAGCUGUGCUAAUUGGAAUAGGCUAUCCAUCCUGCAAUGUUAUGUCAUAUACAUUAUAUUCAAAAAUUCUGGGGCCAAAACCUCAGGGUAUGUACAUGGGCUGGUUAACAGCGUCUGGAAGUGCAGCACGGAUUCUUGGACCUGUCUUCAUCAGUCAAGUGUACGCUGCCUGGGGUCCACGAUGGGCUUUCAGCCUUGUGUGUGGAAUCGUGGUGCUCACCAUCACACUCCUGGGUGUGGUUUACAGAAGACUCAUUGCUUUUUCUGUAAGGCAUGGAAGGAUUCAAGAAUAACCUAGCUAAGACUGUGGUGGAAAGUACUUGCUGUGUGGAACUUUCUCUUUUAAGGCUCUGCUAGAUGAUUGCUAAGAGUCAGUUUCCUAAAGUCAGGUUGUAGAUAUUGCAUAUGUUGAAUAACAAGAACAUAUAUUGAAUAAAAUAGGGAAUUCUGUGUGUAAUUAUGAAUAGCAAGAUAAUAUAAAAAUUCUGGAUCAUAGUUUCCUUAUCUCAAAAAAGAAAUAGUCUUCAUAUGACAUUUUUUGGGGGGUGGCAUAAAGUCAUGAGUGAAUAGACAGUGGUCUAUAAAUGUGAAGUUAUACUCUUAAGUCAAACUGCAGAGGCGUCAUUAAAAUAACAAGAGAAUAUGCAGUGAAAUCAUAAGGAGAGUUCUGUAUGAAUUACCUGUAAUAGAAUGAAAUUAUAGAAAUCUUUUACCUAAUAGAGGUACUUUUAUUCACAGCUAUCUCCUUUUUAUUUAUUAAAAAAUGCAUUUUCUGUUAUUAUAAAGUUUUCCUUAUGAAGUAAAAUCAUGACUUAAAUUUUAUACUUACCAUGCCUGCCAUCCUCCCUUAGCUUCUAUAAGUCAUGAUUUUUAAUACUACACUUUCCGUCUUAUUUUAGUUCAGGAUCUUACUAAUUAACCCCUAAGUUAAUGGAUGUGUAUGAAUAAUGCUCAUAUUUGAGCAAUAAAGAGGAUUAAGAGAUUAAGAUGGAUUUUGCUACCUGUAGUACAGAUAACUACUUUUUUCUUUCAAGUCCUAAUAAAUAAUUCACUUUAGAAACAUAAGCCAGAUAUGUGUUAUUGUAUACAUAUACCGAACAGCAAACUGUUAAAAUUAUUGGCAUUUUCUAAUUCCCUUAAAUUCUAGAGAAAAACUAUUACCUUAUUUAUUUUUUCUCUCUCAGUAGUGGUAGGGAAGACCCAACAGUUUUCAAUCUGUGUCUGCAUAGCUACUCAGAACUGCAGAAUUUUAAAUUUGGAUAAGCCCGACAGCCCCAAUAUAGGCAGGCUAAUAAAUCUGAGGUAAAAUAGCUGUAAUCUGACAGUUUACCGAGUUUACUAGAAAUUGGCUAAAUCACAUUAUGUACACUUUACUACCUCACAUAAGUUGAAUGCUGCUAAAAGGGACUAGUACAGAACUAUCUAUAUGGAUAAUCAGUAUUAUCCAAAAAUGCAAAAAUAUUUCUAAAUACUUUUCCAAAUGUUUCCUACUCUAAGUUAUAAAUAUUUCAAAUCUAAGAGUAAACACUAUAAUUUGCACUUUA